CUUCCUACGGGAGGCAGCAGUAGGGAAUCUUCCGCAAUGGGCGAAAGCCUGACGGAGCAACGCCGCGUGAGUGAUGAAGGCCUUCGGGUUGUAAAACUCUGUCUUCUGUGAAGAACAAGCCUGUGAGUGGAAAGCUCAGGCCUUGACGGUAACAGAGGAGGAAGCCCCGGCUAACUACGUGCCAGCAGCCGCGGUAAUACGUAGGGGGCAAGCGUUGUCCGGAAUCACUGGGCGUAAAGCGCGCGCAGGCGGCGAUCUGCGUCUGGGGUGAAAGCCCGGAGCUCAGCUCCGGGGUUGCCUUGGAUACGGGGUCGCUUGAGGAUCGGAGAGGCAAGGGGAAUUCCACGUGUAGCGGUGAAAUGCGUAGAGAUGUGGAGGAACACCUGUGGCGAAGGCGCCUUGCUGGCCGAUUUCUGACGCUGAGGCGCGAAAGCGUGGGGAGCAAACAGGAUUAGAUACCCUGGUAGUCCACGCCGUAAACGAUGAGUGCUAGGUGUUGGGGGGUACCACCCUCAGUGCCGAAGCUAACGCAUUAAGCACUCCGCCUGGGGAGUACGGUCGCAAGACUGAAACUCAAAGGAAUUGACGGAAGC
rnacentral:rRNA from 1 species